GACGAACGCUGGCGGCGUGCUUAACACAUGCAAGUCGAACGGAAAGGCCCUGCUUGCAGGGUACUCGAGUGGCGAACGGGUGAGUAACACGUGGGUGAUCUGCCCUGCACUUCGGGAUAAGCCUGGGAAACUGGGUCUAAUACCGGAUAGGAGCCAUUUUUAGUGUGAUGGUUGGAAAGUUUUUUCGGUGUAGGAUGAGCUCGCGGCCUAUCAGCUUGUUGGUGGGGUAAUGGCCUACCAAGGCGGCGACGGGUAGCCGGCCUGAGAGGGUGGACGGCCACAGUGGGACUGAGAUACGGCCCAGACUCCGACGGGAGGCAGCAGUGGGGAAUAUUGCACAAUGGGCGCAAGCCUGAUGCAGCGACGCCGCGUGGGGGAGGACGGCCUUCGGGUUGUAAACUCCGUUCGCUAGGGACGAAGCUUUUUGUGACGGUACCUAGAGAAGAAGCACCGGCUAACUACGUG
rnacentral:rRNA from 1 species